CUUCAUCUGUGUUGUUGAAAUGGUUAUUUCUAAGAAAAUAACACACUAAGAAAUAAGAAGCUGGAUGAUCAGUUCCAAAUCGGCUACAGAGUUGAUGAGUAGAAGGCUUGAGGAAGAUGGCCAAGACUCAAAAUAGCCACUGUACUCACAGUGAGAAAUGGAGUACUGAGGAAACAGGAUUGUCGGUCUUGAGUGCCAAUUUGAUGCUAGAGAAUAUACAUAUG
rnacentral:lncRNA from 1 species